UCUCUGAUAACAAAGGCCACUCCACAUCUGCUCCCGCCCUCCGCUACGCUGCCAUCGAAAUUCACCUUGGGGGUGGGGGCGCCCAGGAUACCAGUGGUAUCAUCGCAUAUCUAUGCGGGGAAGAAAAGGCGCCCCAGGUAUCCCUAUCCUCUCCAGAUGAAGAGUCAGCUGCAGCGCUCACCAACUCAGCUGCAUGUGCGAAAGCUCUAGUAACCACCGAUCGCGGAUAGAAACCUCUA
rnacentral:lncRNA from 1 species